GCUGCAUAAUAGGUGGAGACAAGUUUAGUGGGAUCUGGCUGUCUGAGCUGUUUUUCUAGGGAGCCAAACUGGGCACGGAUAGCGUGCCUGAGCUGGUAGUAAUAAAAUAGGUACGAUCUUAGUAAAUCGAAAUCUAAACGUAGCUGAGAAAAAGAUUUAAAGCCCUGAGCAUUGUACAGGUGGCAUAAAUAUUUAACCCCCUUGGAAUACCAGCAAUUGGGAUCAGGAAGGGAGUAUAGUUCCUGCAGAUUGGGGUUGAACCACAGGGGGUUGUUGGGAGAUUUCAGCCAGGUGUGCCUGGAUAUUUUAGUGACAAUAUAACAAAAAGAGGAAAGAGAAGUGGCAAGUAGGGAGGUUCCGGGGCGAUCGGGGACCCGGCCUCUGUAGAUAAUAUUAUGUAGGGUUUCCAGAGAAGAUGCAAUGGCUCCCUCUGUGGAGGUACAGGCAUUGGCCGGACCGGGCACAGCCAAUCGUGGAUGUGCACCAACUGGGAUGCCAAAUAAUAUAGAAAGAAGUUGGGAAAUGCCAGGUCUGCCAAGUGCGCUGGCAACCGUAGUGUUUCAAGUGCUACCUUGGGGAGGCCACCCUUCCACAGGAAAGUAGUACAUAUUGAAUCUAUGCGUUUAAAAAUAGAUUUAGGUAUUUUGCAAGGGGAAUUGGCAAGGAUAUAGAGUAAUCUCGGUAGGUAGAUCAUUUUGAGGACGUUGGCCCUCCCCAUAAGAUCCAGAGGCAGAUCCAUCCACUGCUUGGUCUGCUCCCGAAGGCGGACCAAUAGAGGAUCUAAGUUAUUGGUGACAUAUAAAGAUAAAGGGGUCUGCACCAGAACCCCAAGGUACCUAAAGGAGGAUACCACUUGAAGCUUGGAAUCAGGGGAGGCUCAGCCACAUCUAGGAGAAAAAGACUAGACUUAUCCCAAUUCACCUGGAAGCCAGAAUAGUCUCCAAAGGUAUUAAUCUCCACCAACAGGGCCUGAAGUGAUUCAUUAGUAUCAGCCAGAUACACCAAUGUGUCAUCCGCAUAAAGUUAAAUGCGCUCCUCUAUAUUAGCAAUUGGAAGUCCUUUAAUCGAGGGGGAGGAGCGAAUGCGAACCGCAAGCAGCUCCAUGGCCAGGGCAAACAAGAGGGGUGACAAUGGGCAUCCCUGUCGUGUGCCCCUAGUAAUCGGAAAGGGGCAAGUGAUAGAGGAAUUGACCCGCACCUGAGCUACAGGGGAGGUGUAAAGGAGUUUUAUCCAUGCUACAGCAUGGGCGCCAAAGCCAUACAUCUGUAACCCCCGAAACAGAUAUGGCCAUUCCACACUGCCGAAUGCCUUGUAAGUGUCCAAAGACACAAUAGCAAGAGUGGGAGGACAGUCAUGUGGAUAUUGCAGGUUUUGAAACAGCCUGCGGAUAUUCAUUCUUGUGGACCUGCCGGGGAUAAAGCCCCCUUGAUCACUAUUGACCAAGGACGUGACUACAGUGUUCAAACGGUUUGCCAAUAUUUUGGCCAGAAUCUUAACGUCCACAUUAAUAAGAGAAGUUGGAUGGUAAGAUUCGCAUUUAAGUGGGUCCUUACGGGGUUUUAAUAGAAGUACAAUCAAAGCCUCUCGCAUCGUUGGGGGGAGGAUCCCGACAUCUAGAGCUUUGUUAUAGGUUUGCAAAAGAAAGGGGCACAAAAGGUCUUUAAAUUGUGAGUACCAUUCAGUCGGGAAACCGUCUAAGCCCGGAGUCUUAUGUGCAGGCAUUUGUGAAAUGGCUGCAGCAAUUUCCUUAACCGAGAUAGGUGCAUCCAGCACUUCACGCCCCUCCGUUGACAAGGAGGGGAGAGAUAUGUCAGCCAAGUAGUCAUUCAAUUGGGAGUCAUCGUAGUCAACCCUAGAGGUAUACAGGUCUUUGUAAAAGUAUAAAAAGGAGUCUAGGAUAUCCCCUGGGUUGUCACUGAUGGGGCCUUAAGCAGUAAGGAUACGUGGGAUGGAAAUGGGAGAGUGGUCAGGUCUAGUCAGAUAUUCCAAGAGACGUCCGGCUUUAUUACCAUGUUCAAACGAUUUUUGUGUGGCAUGCAACAUGCGUUUUUGCGUAAGAUCUAACAGGCAGAGUUCAUACUCCCUACGGCUCUGUAACCAUGCCUCCCUCGUGUCGGAGGCAGGGUUAGAGGCAUAAGCAGACUCAGCACGUACCAUAACAGUCUCAAGUUCCUCUGUAAGCAUCCGGUUAUUUUUGCGCAAGACCCCUGUGAUGGACGUGAAAGUGCCCCUCAGAGUUGUCUUAAAUGCGUCCCAUUCAGUGGAAGGGUCUUCUUUUCCCAGAUUAUCCCUCCAAUAGUUUGUGAUGCCUGUCCUGCAUUCUCCCUGCAUUACCUCGUCCUCCAACCAGUAUGAGUUCAGGCGCCAAAUAGCAGGUCCCGAACCUGGGAGGAGGGGGAGGUCCACAAAGAGGGGCAUGAUCAGAAACCCCUCUAGGCAGAUAUGAAACGGCAGAGACAACAGGGAGGGUCUCAGCCGGAGCAAACGCCAUAUCUAGUCUGGACAUGGUGUGGAAAGAAUCCGAGUGGCAGGGAAAGUGGCGUACAUCCAGAUUUUUUCAUCGCCACACCUCUGUAAGGCCAUGAACCUGUGCCCAGUCUAGAAAAGAGGGAAAGGGUCUACCUCGACCACCCAGGAGGUCCAUAGUUGGAUCUAAUAUAGCAUUAAAGUCCCCCACAUAAAAUAAGGGGCCAGGGGGUCUAGUCAGCAGCUGAAGUGACAGUCUAGAGAGUACCUCCACCGAAACCGGGGGUGGGGGGGCACAUAAAUGUUCACCAGGGUAAAGGUCACAGUAGAAAUUUGCAAAGUAAGAACAAUAAACCGCCCGUCGGGGUCAGUUUUAACUUGUACCGUCUCAGCCGGGAAUGAUUUGGCUAGAAGAAUGGAGCGGUAGAACCUUUAGCUGAAGAAUCUGUCACCAGGGAAGGACAGUCCCAGAUGCCUCUUAGUGAGGAGCAGCUUCUCCUUCCAGUUUUCAAAUUAUCCCUAGAGGAGGUAGAUAGCUUACUUAGGGCCAUUCAUGUCACGUUAGGCCUAAGUGAGUUGAGUUUAAGUUAAGGAGUUGAGUUUACAUUACCGCAUGUAUGCGGGUCUAUAUGAGCCCAAGGGUCGCACAUUUCCGGUCCAUCCGGUCAUUUCUGACGCUAUAACUAGAGAAUGGCAGGAUCCAGAGAAAACAUUUUUUUUCUCAAAAGCCCACAAAAGACGUUUCCCUUUUGAAGAAGAUCCCUCUGCAGUGUGGAAUAAAGUCCCUAAACUGGAUGCGGCCCUCUCUCAGGUCUCCAGGUCCACUGAUCUGUCUUUUGAAGACAUGGUGGUCCUAAAAGACCCGAUGGACAAACGCAUGGAUCUCUUAUUAAAAAGAUCUUGGCAAUCUAUUAUGAAUAAUUUAAAACCCGCUAUGGCCACAACGUGUGUAGCUAAAACCUUAGAAUUUUGGACUAACUAGCUGAAAGCCCAUAUAGUGGCGGACUCGCCUAAACAGGAAAUUUUUGAUUAUUUUUCCACUCUAUCCUCUGCAGUUGCUUACAUAGCAGAUGCUUCAGCUGAAGCAAUCAAGAUGUCGGCAAGGUCUGCAGCCUUGACUAACACUGCAAGAAGAGCAUUGUGGUUAAAGACCUGGCCAGGUAAUGCAGCUUCAAAAAACAAGCUUUGCGGGAUUCCUUUUUCAGGGGACCUUCUUUUUGGGCCUGAUCUAGAGAAUAUCCUAGACCGGGACAGCUGAUAGGAAAAUAUCCUUCCCAGUAAAGAAGAAGAAACAACCCCCAAGAUGUUUUUUUUUCUACCUCAAAAGGCUCAAGAAAAAGACAACAAACCCCAAGGAGGUAGAAGGAAUUGGGCCGCACAGAAGGCCAAAGGGAAAGGUGUAAUGCUUUUCCAUCCUCCUAUGCAAGCCGAGAAAUCCCAAUGACUCAGUGGUCAGUGGUAACGUCCAAUCAGUACAUCCUGACCACCCUUGCCCAGGGUUAUGUCAUAGAAUUCUCGGAGACACCUCCAAGCAGGUUUUUGAUAACAAAAUACUCAGAAAAAUCCCUGGCCAUGAAGUCCUCUUCAAAAGAGCUGAUGCAACAGGGGGUGGUGGUACAAGUACCUCCAGAGGAACAGCAACUGGGGUUCUAUUCACACAUUUUCCUGAUAAAGAAACCUACAGGAAAAUUCAGAAUGAUCCUAAACUUGAAGCCUCUAAACAAAUCUGUCAAAUACAGAAAGUCCAAGAUGGAUUCAAUCUUUUCGGUAAAGAAUCUAUUUACGCCAGACUGUUAUAUGGCGUCAAUAGAUUUGAGGGACGCAUAUCUGCAUAUCCCAAUCUCCCCUCAGUCACAGAGGUACCUCAGACAACCUAUCCAGGGCGCAGAACCACCUGGAAUCUCUGGGCUGGAUUUUGAAUUUACAAAAAUCAUCCCUAGUUCCAUCUCAUGAGAUUUGUUUCUUGGGUUACCAAGUCGAUUCGGUGAGCCAAAAAAUGUUUUUCCACAGGAGAAAAAGAACAAAGUUCAGGACGCUGUGUUGCGGCUACAGUCCAACCAGCCUAUUACAAUAAGGCAAGUAAUGUCGGCAUUUGGAGUCCUGACUUCAACGAUGCCGUCCAUUCAAUGGGCAAGACUACUGUACAUUUCAGGUGCCUACAAGCCUUUCUCCUGAGGUCGUGGGAUCACAAUCUCAGAUCCCUGAACACUCAGAUAAAAAUUCCAUCACCAGUGAAGAGGUCACUUUAUUGGUGGAGAAAUCACAAGUUCCUUUCAAGAGGUCUGGAGUGGUCCUUUCCAGUAGAAAAGAGACUGACUACAGAAGCCAGUGCGUGGGGAUGGGGAGCCCACUUAGAAUUUUUUUUCUUCCAAGGGUCUUGGAUGAAAGUAGAGUCAAGACGUUCCUCAAACUGGAGGGAGCUAAAGGCGAUUGCAUUAGCUCUAGUAAAGUUUGCCCCGGAUCUUCCCCCCGUUCCAGUUAAUCCCUUUAGUACUAUGGAAAAUCCAGAGGGAGAAGGUACCGGUCAUCUUGAUCACCCCGUACUGGCCCAAGAGAGCUUGGUUCUCGACGGACCUGGGAAUGGCGACCAAGCCAUAUUGGCAUCUACCUCUCAGGCAGGAUCUGUUAAUACAGGGUCCUGUGACUCAUCCAGAUGUGUCCAGUCUCUCCCUUGCAGCCUGGUAUCUGAAAGGCAACUUUUAAAGAAAAGGGGUUUUUCAGACCGAUUAGUUUCUACACUAUUAGAAAGUAGGAAGAAAGUAACGAGGGCUAUAUACACAAAAGUAUGGAAGGUGUAUACUUCUUGAUGUAACUUGUCUGGUCAAGACCGAAACCAUCUUAGGUCCAUUUUUGCAAGACUGAGCAGAUAAGGGUCUGGCAAUCAGUACUUUGAACGUACAAGUAUCUGCCUUGUCAGUGUUUCUGGAAAGAUCCGUGGCCUCAGAACCGCUAGUGGCUAGGUUCUUCAAAGCCCUUACUAGGUCUAGACCGGUUCAGAUUAAAGGUUUCUUGAAAUGGAAUCUCUCGGUAGUUCUACAAUCCCUGGCAGGAUGCCGCGUACACACGGUCGUGUUUCAGC